UGACCUCGGAUCAGGGUAAGGAAUACCCAACG
rnacentral:rRNA from 1 species